rnacentral:rRNA from 1 species
AUACGGAGGGGACAAGCGUUAUUCGGAAUCACUGGGCGUAAAGGACGCGUAGGCGGGUUAUUAAGUCGGGUGUGAAAUCCAAUGGCUCAACCAUUGAACUGCAUUCGAAACUGAUAACCUAGAGUAUGGAAGGGGCAGGUGGAAUUAGUGGUGUAGGAGUAAAAUCCGUAGAUAUCACUAGGAAUACCGAAAGCGAAGGCGACCUGCUGGGACAUUACUGACGCUGAGGCGUGAAAGCGUGGGGAGCAAACAGGAUUAGAUACCCUAGUAGUCC